GGGCUUGGUGCCCUGAUUUUAAGGCUGAUUCAUAAACAAAGGGUAAAUAAAACAAAAUUAAAAUACCACUAGGUCAAUAAAUCAGCGGUUGAGGGGAAGAGGAGAAAUGGGAGUGCCAACGCAUUUAUUGUAAUAAGGAAGCGUGAACAUGAAGGGACAUCGUAUGAUAUCCUAUGGUUAUUUCUUUUGCAAAAAUCCUAUGCACUAUUUCGAAUGAAAGGAGGAUUUGAAUCAAAUGAACUACUUAUUUGCUGAUAUCACUAUUUCAAAGUCAUCAGAGCAAUUGCUAAAGAGAAAAAUUAUAAAUAUGUUCAGUCCUAGGAAAUUGGGUCAGAAUCUGCGUAUCUAAUGGGAUCGUUACUGUUACACUUGUAAGAUUUGGAAUCCGUUCAAAAAACAAGCCAGAAACAAGCCUUUGUAUACGUUAGGAAAAGAUGCCCUGCAUUAGAGCCCGGCCAAGGGAGAGAUGGGGGCAGGUAACUGCAGUCCAAAACUGAGCAGCCACUCCUAGAAGCUCUGCUUGAAAUUCAUGCUGUUAAGACAAGCGACCAAAAGUAUUUAACUCCUGCAUUGACCUAGGCACCUCUCCUCCCAGCAGUUACCUGGGAAAGAUACUCAGAAUCAAUGAGAAAUGGGAAAUCAAAGAACCUGCUAUGGACUGAAUUGUAUCCCCUCCAAAAUGCAUAUCUUGAAGCCCGAACCCCAGUGUGAUGGUAUUUGGAGAGGUGACCUUUGGGAGGUAUUAAAUAAAAUUUACAUGAGGCCAUUGGUUUGGACUUGUUGCCAGUAAACUGAGUUUUUUCCCCACUUUGUAUUGAUGGCAAAGGAAGAAUGUCCAGUUGGAAAAGGCAAUCAGGUUUUAUUCACUGGCCAAGAAGGAAGAAGGGGAGGCUCUCGCUCUAAACGCCCCUUCUCCCUGAACAGUAGAAGUUAUGGGUACUUUAGGGACUGGGUAUAGGGAGGGAGAGGGA
rnacentral:lncRNA from 1 species